rnacentral:rRNA from 1 species
UACGUAGGGGGGCUAGCGUUGUCCGGAAUCAUUGGGCGUAAAGCGCGUGUAGGCGGUUCGGUAAGUCUGCUGUGAAAGUCGGGGGCUCAACCCUCGAAUGCCGGUGGAUACUGUCGGACUAGAGUGCGGAAGAGGCGAGUGGAAUUCCUGGUGUAGCGGUGAAAUGCGCAGAUAUCAGGAGGAACACCAAUUGCGAAGGCAGCUCGCUGGGACGUUACUGACGCUGGAGACGCGAAAGCGUGGGGAGCAAACAGG